CAGUUCUUGAGCCAUGGAAAUAUUCCCUCUCUCCUGGACACUUCAGCUCAUCAACAAACCCUUGCCAGCGCCUUUUCCUGAGAAGUUUUCAAAUAUCAUAUGAUUUAUAUAUGCAGAAUGAAAGCCCUUUGGACAGAGAAGCAAUGGCACAAAUUCUGUAAGAAAUCACCUGAAGAUGCAACAUACCCAUGUCCUCUGAGGAGCCCUGGUGGACACAGUGGUUUUGGAGGAGGUACCGAAGCAGUCGGUAAAAGUGUGGUAUAAUUUUUCAGCCGGAAGAAAAGAAGCUUUUUGUAGUAUCAGCUGUGACAGAGGUGAAGAAUUGCUUGAGUUCUUAUUUGUGUAACUGGUCAACUCACUAGCCAAGAAAGCCUUCAUUUUUUUUUUUUAAUUAACCAAAUGUGUUAGUGUCCAUUAAACGUGUAUUUCUGUAAUUAUUUCUGUAAAAUAAUAUCUUUUGCCUGAGCAAGAGCCCUG
rnacentral:lncRNA from 1 species